rnacentral:rRNA from 1 species
AUGAUCUUAUUAAUUCUAUGUUUAACAAAUCCAGCCUAUUUAGUAAACAUCAAUGCAUCAUACAUGAAGGUGAGGUCCUACCACUUCUCUAGUACCAGGAUUCUUGGCACCCACUACAAAAUGACACCCAGUUGUCCCUCAAAACUCAAGUUGCGCAAGAACUCGGUCAGGAUCUCAAGCAAAAGCAUUUGCAGAACCCAAGCAACUGCCACUGCCCGAAAAUUGAUGAUCACGCAUUCUUCGCAUCUUCCCAUCAAGCAGUCUUCUGUUUUGCUGCCGUGUUGGAAAGAUGAGAAAGGGUCCUAUGGCCGACGAACACAAGGAACACGCCGAGGAAGCUGA